rnacentral:rRNA from 1 species
AGAGUUUGAUCAUGGCUCAGGAUGAACGCUAGCUACAGGCUUAACACAUGCAAGUCGAGGGGCAUCAGGGAGUAGCAAUACUCUGCUGGCGACCGGCGCACGGGUGAGUAACACGUAUCCAACCUGCCGAUAACUCAGGGAUAACCCUUCGAAAGAAGGACUAAUACCUGAUAGUACCAUCAGAUGGCAUCUGACGAUGGUUAAAGAAUUUCGGUUAUCGAUGGGGAUGCGUUCCAUUAGCUUGUUGGCGGGGUAACGGCCCACCAAGGCAUCGAUGGAUAGGGGUUCUGAGAGGAAGGUCCCCCACAUUGGAACUGAGACACGGUCCAA